UACGUAGGGCGCAAGCGUUGUCCGGAAUUAUUGGGCGUAAAGAGCGUGUAGGCGGCCAUACAGGUCAGCUGUGAAAACUCGAGGCUCAACCUCGAGACGUCGGUUGAAACCGUAUGGCUAGAGUCCGGAAGAGGAGAGUGGAAUUCCCGGUGUAGCGGUGAAAUGCGCAGAUAUCGGGAAGAACACCCGUGGCGAAGGCGGCUCUCUGGGACGGUACUGACGCUGAGACGCGAAAGCGUGGGGGAGCGAACAGGA
rnacentral:rRNA from 1 species